CCUACGGGUGGCAGCAGUGAGGAAUAUUGGUCAAUGGGCGAGAGCCUGAACCAGCCCAGUCGCGUGAAGGAUGAAGGAUCUAUGGUUUGGAAACUUCUUUUAUAUGGGAAGAAAGUGAGGAACGUGGUGCUUUUUGUAUGUACCAUAUGAAUAAGCAUCGGCGAACUCUGUGCCAGCAGACGGGGUAAUACGGAGGAUGCGGGCGUUAUCCGGAUUUAUUGGGGUUAAAGGGUGCGUAGGUGGUUAAUUAAGUCAGCGGUGAAAGUUUGUGGCGCAACCAUAGAAUUGCCGGUGAAACUGGUUGACUUGAGUAUAUUUGAGGUAGGCGGAAUGCGUGGUGUAGCGGUGAAAUGCAUAGAUAUCACGCAGAACUCCGAUUGCGAAGGCAGCUUCCUAACCUAUAACUGACGCUGAAGCACGAAAGCGUGGGGAUCAAACAGGAUUAGAUACCCGUGUAGUC
rnacentral:rRNA from 1 species